GUAGGUCACACCGAGUGGCCCCUCCUCCUCAGACACAGGGCUGUGCCUGGGGAGGCCCAAGAAAGCCAAAGAAUAGGCCACGGGCUCAGAAGACAGGGUGAGAAACACUUAGUCAGCAUAAUCCCUGCCAAUCACACCAGGGCUUCCGGUAAUACCAAGAGGGGAGCGGGUGAGAAGGUGGAUUCUGAAUCUGACCACGUAACUCUGCACUGCCACGAAGGCCCCAGCUCAUGCCCCGCGCUCAGCAGAGAGUGGGCUUGGGCCUCAUCUUCCUGUAACCGGGGGCUGGGGACCACUUUGAUCUCACUGUUCCCCUUGCUGCUGUUCACACCAGUACGGCGCCUUCAAGAAGUUAUCCCAGGGCAAUUUUCCACCUUUGAAGUCCCCGGAAAACCCUGCCAAAAGCCGUUCUGGUGUGAGGAUGCUGCAGGGGCAGGCAGCCUGGUGCCGCGGCCUCCCGGGUGCCAGAACUGGAACAUCGAGACAUCAAAGGCGAAGGUGGCAGCAGGGCGAUGAGUAAGCUCCGCUGCAGGCUUGGCCUCGGCCCCAGAAGCCUUCUCCUCAUCUCCCAGUGGUGGCUGAGCAGGACUAGGGAGACGACCCAGAGAGCCUGGAGACCUGGCUUGGGGGAAGCCCUGUGGAUGCUUCUGGAGGCGGACACUUCCCUGCUGCUCUGUGCCUGGUAAAGGCACCGACCACUGCAGAGCAGAAGCAGAGUCCAAUCCUGGCUCCAAAGCGCCCCUGACUGCAAAGCUUUGGUACUGUUAUUACCACCGUGAAACAGGUGGGGAAACUGAAGCAUGAGGAGCUUGAGUAAUGUGUGUUAGAUCACGCAACCAGUAGUGGCAGAGCUGGAAUUCCGACCUGGGACUGCCUCCAAAGUUCUUGCGUAAGAAUACAGCUGCUACACUUGCCCUUCUUCAGCUGAGACCAAGGAGGGAAUUCUGAUUGAAAGCAAACCAGGGAGGAAAGAUGCACUAGCACUGACCUGUAACAGGUCAAUCUGUGCCAUGGCAUGGCGAGACGAAGUGGAGAACCCAUGUCUCAUUGGAAUCCCGGAUCAUCGUCUCCACGAAGGCUGUCUUCUGCAGCACUCCAGGGACUCACGGCUCUGGGCUUAUUGCUCAGUGUCAUGUGACAGAUGUUUUAGUGUUUAGUUGGAACCCUGGAUCUGCAGCAACCAUCUUGCUACCAACUUGAGGGUGAAGCCAGCCGUAAGAAUAGCAGGCCGGAAAGAUGGAAGAAACCUGGCUUUCCAAUGUCAUCAUUUGGUUGCUGAAUCAAUUGUACCUAAAGCUCACUCUAUCUGUUUUACCUUGAGUUAGGGUUGCCGUUGCUUGCAGCUAAACGCAUCUUCUUUUUUUUUUUUUUUUUUUUUUUUUUUGAGAAGGAGUCUUACUCUAUCACCCAGGUUGGAGUGCAGUGGCGCGAUCUCAACUCACUGCAACCUCCACCUCCCAGGUUCAAGUGAUUCUUGUGCCUCAGCCUCCCACGUAGCUAGGAUUACAGGCGUGAGCCACCACGCCCGGCUUAUUUUUGUAUUUUUGGUAGAGAAGGGGUUUCGCCAUGUUGCCCAGGCUGGUCUUUAACUUCUGGACCUUAGGUGAUCCACCCGCCUCAGCCUCCCAAAGUGCUGGAAUUACUGGCAAGAUCCACCACACCCAGUCUAAAUGCAUCUGAAUAUAACAUGACUCUCCUAGAGAAAAACCUGGAACCCAGAGCACCUGAAUAGAAACUCUUAAUUAUAUCAAUGAGGAAUAGUUAACUUAGCCAAGUUUCCAUUGAAUAUGAAGAACUGUAAAAUAAUGUCAGUUCUAGCCAAGAACUGAAAAGUAAUGUCAGUACUCUAUAAUGUGUAAUUCAUAGUUGCUACAUGUAAUCAGGCUUGGCCAAUUGUUUCCAGGAAGAUGGCACCCUCAUUUCUGAAUGAGGAUGACCAUUUUCCACUAAUCCAGAGGUAAAACAGUCAUUGUAACUGCACUGAAAUUUGCUGUAUCAAGUGAGACAUGAAGGUAAAUGUCAUUGGCCCAGAGUAAUUAGUCUUUUCCAGUGCUUAAAGGAAGGGAGAGAAACUAAUGCCUAUUGAGUGCCUUCAAAGCUUCUGCAAUGUGCUGGUACCCACAUGUUUCCAAUUAUUCCUCACAACACUAUGGAGAGGUUAUUUUGCCUGUUUUGCUGAUCAGGGAACUGAGACUCACAGAGUGACACCAACCCAUCAGUAUUUCAGGUUUCUGGGGAGGGUCCAGAGAGCAAGGGGGAAGCUGCUAAUUGCUUGUUGGUUCAAGAGAAAUGUUAUCUCAGUAGACUAACGUAUGGACUUUCUGAUGUCAGAAAAUGCAAACUAUGUAGUGUAACCUGUUUGCCAUUUUUUCUUUGUAUCCGCAAACUGACAGCAAAAUAUAUUGCACAAGUAUUAUAAAUCUGUUCAGUUCAAGUGCCAGAGAACAUUUACUCUGCUUCCUUCAUGAGGUAAUUCAAAACUUUGUUUUUAAUAUUUAUUGAGUGUCUGGGUAGGUAAACUGCUAUGCCGUCCUAUGGGGAAUUUCAGAUGUGUUGUCUGUGUGUGUGUGUGUGUGUAUGUGUGUGUGUGUGUGGUGUUUUCUGGUUUUGAUUGUUGACGUUUUCUUGAUUUUUUUUGACAGGAGCAUCUUUAGAUAUUUAUUUAUUUUAUAAUUCAUACAUACAUAUAGUAAAAAGUUCAGAUAGUUUUAAAAUAUAGUGAUGUGUAAAUCUCCCCUCACUUGUGAGCCCCAGGCAUUCAGCUCCCCUCCCUAGACGCAAUUAUUGUAGUCAGUUCAAAGCUUGUUUGUGCACAUACAAGUCUCUGUGUAUAUCCUCUACACACACCCAGAAGAGCAUACUAUACAUGCUCUAGACUGUGUUAUGUUUCUUUGAAUGGCUACGAUGUAAUUUAUUAAUCCAGUUCCCUAAUAAUAGGCAUUUAGGUACUUUUCAUGUUUUUCUCAAUGUGUAAUUGUACCAUUAAAAUUCUUGGGUUUUUUUUUGGUUUUUUGGUUUUUUAUUAAGAGUCUCGCUCUGUUGCCCAGGCUGGAGUGCAGUGGCGUGAUGUCAGCUCACUGCAACCUCCGCCUCCCAUGUUCAAACAAUUCUCGUGCCUCAGGCUUCCGAGUAGCUGGGAUUACAGUCGCCCACCACCAUGCCUGGUUAAUUUUUUUGUAUUUUUUAGUAGAGACAGGGUUUCACCAUGUUGGCCAGGCUGGUCUCAAACUCCUGACCUCGAGUGAUCCGCCUCUCUUGGCUUCCCAAAGUGUUGGGAUUACAGGCAUUAGCCACAGCGAAAAUCCUUGUAUUCAUGCCUUUGCCCAUGUUUGCAAGUAUAACUGGGAGAUAAAAUGCUAGAAUUGCAGGGUCCAAAAAAAAGCACAUUUUAAUUUUAACAACUAUAACCCAGUUGCCUUCCAAAGAGGCUGUACACAUGUUUCCCUGUCUCAAACAGUGGUGAGCAUGCCUGCUCCCCUACAAACUCACCAGCUCAGAGCAUUAUCAGGCUUCUCAUCUCUGCCAACCUGGUAAGUACAAAGGGCAUCUCUUGUAGUUUCGGUUGCAUUUUUCUCAUUAUGAGAUUGAGCAGCAGACAAUGUCUUUAAAAGACUUAUUUUGCUCUGGGUUUUAAUCUUAAAAUACUCUAAAUCCUCUUAGAAGUAGGUAGGGUCAGAUCUUCAAUCUGGAUGGAUUUACGUAAUGGGUCUAUGAAAGGGAUAGAAAGUCAAAGCAAGGGGGUGAGGCGGGGGAAUGAUGCGAAGUCAAAGCCCUCCCCCUCGGGGGCCCCUAGCCCAUCCCUGAUCCCUCACCCUUUGCAGGGCAUGUCCAGAGCUGCCACUGCCCUGGGCCUCCACCCCACAGCCCAGGACCACACCUUAACCUGGAAAGUCGUGGACCUCCUCAGGGGAGCUCAGGGAUCAGAUGGGCCGAUGGGUGUUACUGUGGCCAGGAGCACUGGGUCUUGAGUAUGUGGGUGGAACUUUCCCUCAUCCCCUGACCACGUCUAACCACAUGGCCUCUCCACUUUGAUAGUGGCGAGAAGAGUAGCCUCUUGCUUUUGCAUGUUUUCCUAAUCACAGCGUGCUUUCUUGUCUGCUAUUUCAUUUGACUUUUUUCAACCAGCCGCUGAGGUGGGGAUUAUUAGCACGCCCUUUGCAGAUGAGGAAACUGAAGCCCAGGGAGCUUUGGCAACCUGCCCAAGGUCACACAGCCAGUGAAGGAAAGGGCUGAAAUCAAACCAGGCCUGUCUGACUGCAAGGCAGGGUCUUACGGCUGCCUCCGGUGGGUAGGUCCGGGACCCAGCUGGUUUCCGUCCUGUGGCUCAGGUGCGAGGAGAGCCUCCCUGGGCCACCUGGGGAAGUCUGACUGACGUGCCAGAUCCUCACAGAACAAAGCACCCCCUCUCUCAGCACCAGGGAGCUCCUCCAGGAGCACUUCCUCCCAUGUCUGUGUUCGCCGUUAAGACUGGACACACCAGGAUGAUCUUUCAACUUUGGGUCCAAAGGCCCUCAGUGGAUGUAAAAUAGGUACAUGAGGCCUUGAACUGAACAUUUUUUUCACUUCACCAUAACCUGGAUUUUCCCAGUUUAGGAGCAUCUGUUUGUCUUGAUAACGUUUGGAACAAAGUGAAAAAAACUGGACUUUGAAGAGAACUUCAGGUGAAUUACACAUUUAAGUCAGAUUUUCCAUGUCUUUGUCCCAUGUUCAGUAAUUCAAGCUGUUAGGAGCCCUCAACUUUGUACAUAUAUUUCCUUCCUAUCUCUGCCUCUUCAUACCUGGUACUUACCGUGGAAUUUGAAAUCUUUCUGUGGCUGUAAGCAAGAAAGGCGGGAAAAAUACAAGAAGUUAAAGGGGAUUGGAUGGUUCAGAUUUGGUUGAUGAAUGAGAUGGUUUAGAGGCAUGUCUUGUAAGAGAUAAUUUUCUAUGUGCCAGGUACUAUUUAUGAAUCCCACAUUAUCUUAUUAAUGCUCACAACAAGCCUUGGGGGUAAAUAGAUUAUCAUCGCCAUUUCACAGAUUAGGAAAGUGAGGUUUCAGCAGUCAAUUGCUCAAAGGUCUCCUGCUAGUGAAACAGUCGUCUAUCCAAACAGUCUGAAUGACCUGUGCACAUGGGAACGUGCCACGCAAGCCAAGGGCAGGAAGGAUGAGAAGAGGUGGGCAGAAAGCCAGCUGGGAUGAAUGAAGGACCUACUACGUGCAGGCCCAGGGUCAGACAUUUUAUUUUCUUGAUUGCACUUCAGCCUCCCAGCAGCCCUGUUUUACAGAUGAAGAAACUGAGGCUCAAAGAGCUGGAGAAAGUUGUUGCCCAGGGUCCUGUGGAGAGAAAACUCAAGCUCCGGCUGUUCCACUACUCUGGGACACCACCCCCAGUGGGAACCCCACUUUUACAAGGAUUCGAAGGUAGGUGAGGACUUAUCUCCUGAAAUAAUUAGUAUACUUACUUUUUUGUUACAUAUUCCCACUAAAGGUUUGCAGCCCCACCCAGCUUGAAUAUCAGGAGAAUGGCAACAAAAUCUGGUUCAAGGCUCACAGAAUCCACGAAAGAUGCCAGCCCCUCCACGGUUGGAGAGUGAUUCACAAAUGUGUCUUUAAGGACUUUCCCAGGCCGGGCACAGUGGCUCACACCUGUAAUCCCAGCAAGCCGAGGCGGGAGGAUCACCUGAGGUCAGGAGUUUGAGACCAGCCUGGCCAACAUGAUGAAACUCCGUCUCUACUAAGAAUACAAAAAUUAGGCAGGCGUGGUGGCAUGCACCUGUAAUUCCAACCACUUGGGAGGCUGAGGCAGGAGAACUGCUUGAACCGGGGAGGCAGAGGUUGCAGUGAGCCAAAAUCACACCGCUGCACUCCAGCCUGGGCAACAGAGUGAGACUGUGUCUCAACAACAACAACAACAACAACAAACAGAAAAAAAAGAAAAAAAAAGGACUUCCCCAUCUCAGAGCAGAAGACAAACCCAGGUGACUCUGAGUCUGCACAGAAAAGGCAAGGGUGACCAAGAGUGAGGAGGUUAAGCACCUGUUGCUUUCAGCUCAGGUCCUGACCACAGCCCUUAAUAAGGACAAACCUCUCAGAUUGCUGCAGCCUUCAAUACGCAUGUUCCUAUAGUGCCUGGCCAAUAAGAAGUACUUACACAGUAGCUGUUAUUAUUGUAAAGGCGGCGCAAAGAGUUAAGGAAGGCCGGUAGCUAAGCUGAAUCUGAGUUGCAUCUUGUAGGCCAUGGUAUGUGAAAGAAGGGCAGGCCAGGAGGGGGAACAGAGUGAGUAAAGCCCAGAGGCAGGGGCAUGGAAAAGCAGGGAGGAGUUAAGCUUGGGGCAAAUAUCCUAAAUGAAGGGGAAUAAAAGGCAACAAAGUUUGCAAGUUGCACCGGGGCCACAUCUUGGAGUUGUUUGAGAACAUGUCCCAUGAGGCUGCAUUUAACACCAGCCACUCGCGCUUCCACCCCAACAGCAGGAGUAUCACAUCCACAUGCCAUGUGCGCAAUUCCUUACUUUAUAUCCUCCUCUAAGAUAAAUCUACCCUCCCUCUUUUUUAAGCAUAAGAGCAUUUAUUCUAAAAGGAAACUUUUGGCCAGGCAUGGUGGCUCACGCCUGUAAUCCCAGCACUUUGGGAGGCCUAGGCUGGUGGAUCAUGAGGUCAGGAGUUCGAGACCAGCCUGACCAACAUGGCAAAACCCCGUCUCUACUAAAAAUACAAAAAUUAGCCGGGUGUGGUGGCACGUGCCUGUAGUCCCACCUACUCGGGAGGCUGAGGCAGAAGAAUUGCUUGAACCCGGGAGGCAGAGGUUGCAGUGAGCUGAGAUCACACCACUGCAGUCCAGCCUGGGCAACAAAGCAAGACUCUGUCUCAAAAAAUAAAUAAAUAAAUAAAUAAAAGGAAACUUUUGCUCACUAAUGGAAAUGGAAGUGGCACCUGUCAUAGGCAGAGACAAAUUGUCAAAGUAAACAACUUUUAAGUCUCACUAGACACUCCUGCCCCAGCAGAAUCUGGUCAAAAGCUAGGUCAGCAAAUUUCAGAGGCAGUAUUAAGGACAAAGUAGCAACAAUCCAAACUUUCUUUUUAGGUACUCAGAAAGACUAACAGAACAUUGAGAAGGGGUGUUAGUCACAUCCCCAAACUGCAAGAGGCCAGAAGAUAGCGAGGGGUCUUUCAAACAAUCUAAAAUCUGAGACCCCAAUGUUGGAAAAGAGAAGGAAGGGAAUGGGUUAAAGUGCCAGUUGCUCCCUCCUCAGAUAGCAGGGCCCUGGACAUCCCUAAGAUGUCCCCUUCCUCUUUCAUCCUUCCCUGAUUCCAGCCUCCCCACCUUCCCCAGGCUGGCUUGCCUGAUUUUGUGAGCUCUUCAGCCGGCUUAAAGUGUAAUUCUGUAUUUCUGAUUCUAUCUGUGUUCCAGGAGGCAUUAUCUCUAUCUCUGUAAUAGCUUCUCAAGCAAAAACAUUUUACUGGGUAAAAGAGCAAGGAAUAGGCAUGACCUGAUGCUGAUUUAAAGCAAGAUUCCAGGCAAGCCCCAGAGCCCUCUCUAAGUAGCCUCUCUCCUUUCUGCUGUCUAACGAAACAGCUCCUAAUGGCCAUGGUAUCAUAUUGUAUCUCAUAUUUACACAGCACUCGGCACACAUUCACUUAUUCAGCGGACAUCCAUUGAGGGCCUAUUAUGUGCCAAGUCUUCUGGGUGCUGGCAAUCAACAGUGAACAAAGACCCGUGAGGUUCUUGCUCUACUUGGGAAAACAGGCAAUAAACUCUGAAACAAGUAAAUAAACACGAUCAUGAUGAGGCUACUGAAAAAGCAAUGUGGUAGCAGCGUGACGAUGAUGUGCCAUGGGAGACAGGUGGCAACAUCAAAAAAGGUAGACUGCCCCCGCCCUCCGAAGAGGUGGCAUGUGAGCAAGAAGGAGCCAGCCAAUGGAAAGCUCUGAAAGCAGAGUCUUUUAAAAACAAAACAAAAUCAAAAAACAAAAACAGGGCUCAAAGAAGAUGUCUGCACUUCUGCCAGACGGGGCAGAAAGAAGAUAAUGGUGCUCCAAUCAGGGAGACUGUGGAGGCAGUACAGGUGACAGGAGGCAGGGAAACGAGAAUUAGCCAGAAACACAGUAGGUUUGCCAUGUCAGUCAGACACUCGAGUGUGUUCUUGCUCUUCUCAACAAACCAUAAAGUAAGGACGAUCAGUGUUUCCCAUUUUACAGACAGGAAAACUGAAGCUCGGGAAGGCUACCCAGGUACAUAGGGGCAGUGGUGGGAUGUGAAUCUAUGGUUUAGGAUGCUGACGCCAGCACUAUCCCACCUGCCUCAUGGUAGAGCAGUGUCCAGACACAGAGGUGGCAAUGCAGCAGCUCAAGUGGCAGCUCCAGCACUGCAUGUGUUUUGUCCGUUCUACAUGGGUUUGGAAAAACUCACCUGAGCUAGCGAUCAACUCUUAAAUAUAACCCUUCACUCAAAAAUCUGGCUGUCUAUCUGAAAAUAUUUGAAGACCUGGUCAUAGUGGGACCAUGAUUUGAAUGACAACAAUGGGCUGGAGCAGUAUCUCUGCCCACCUUGAGAGAGGGAUGGGCACUCUGUUUUUCCACAGCCCCCACCUCUCCCGAUUGCUUGCCCCGGCCCCUUCACUCCUCUCCAUUGCAUUCAUGGCCUCCCUAUGCAUUCGGCUUUGAGGCCCCAGCUCUCUAGUGAUGAAAUAUGUGGGAAGAUCCACAAAGCCCAGCAAACGAGGAGUGACCAGAGGAAUUGAGUUACAGUUCCUCCCUAGAACACUUUCCUGCCUUUCUGAUGUAAUCACUUUGCGCAAACAGUAGGAAAUGUUCAGAAGAGCUGCUACAAGGCGGUGAUUAAGAGGUCAGGCCUGGUUCUUAAUUCUAGCUUCAGCAAGUCCUAUCUGUGGGACUUGGGCAAGUUCUAAAAACCUCAGUUUCUUUAUCUGUAAAGCGCAAAUAAUAAUAAUGCCUACUUUAUAAGUAGGAUUAGGGGAAACAGUAAUUUAGGAAACGUGCUCGGAAUGAUGCUAGUUUCGUGGUGAGUAUCCAAUAGAUGGAGCCGUAGUUGUCUUUCUCAUCUUAGAAAGCAGCUGAUUCUCCCAUGUCAUGACAGUGUUUGUGCAACUCCUCUGGAAUUCUCUCCUUUCUUCCUUAGGAGAGCAUUUUCUCAAUGUUCCUCUUUAUCUUUCUCCAAACACAAAGACAAAUCUAAGAGGAAAAAAAAAAUCUUCAAACUGGGUCGCAGAUACUCAGCUUCUUGUCAAUUCUCAUUAGGGUUUAAAAGCUCAGUCUCCUGCAUAUGCCCAAAGAUAAAGCAAUCCCUUCCAUUCCUAAUUCAAAGAACCAAAAAAAAAAAAAAAACAUGUGGUUGGACCUGGUUGAAUAUAUAAACUUUUGGGGAUGGCAAUAAACUAGGCAAAGUCCUGGUUAUUCAAUUUAUUAGCUCAGUUGUGCAACGUAGAAAUAAACAGAAAAUUACUUAUAAUUUUACAAUAAUAUUCAUUUAGAAACAUCACUUUUCUCCAUAUACGUGUUGCAUGAAACAGCUUUACUCCAUUCUUUGCCACACAUAAGGAGGCCGAGGAGGGAAGAUGGCAUGAGGCCAGGAAUUCAAGGCUGCAGUGAGAUAUGAUUGCACCACUACACUUCAGCCUGGGCGACAGGGUGACACCUCAUCUCUAAAAAAUAAAAUAAAAUAAUAAAAAAAUUUUGGAAAUUUUUAAAGCGUCUGCUCCACAGAGCCACAUUUUGCAUUGUGCAGUUUCGUUUUUCAGACCUUUCUCCUCUCUUCCAUCUGACUGCCCUGAGAUCCAGCACUUUUUGCUUCCACAUCUGAGGCUGUCGCUGGAAACAAGGUCUCCAUCCCAUUUGCAUGACAUGAGCACAGUCGGGAUUUGUAUUCAUUCUGUGGGUGUGUGUAUAUUCGUGCUCUCCACAAAAGAACCACUCAGCAUUGCUUUUUCAAGCCGAGCUUUAAAAGGCUUAUUUGCCAUGACAUCCAGCACUUGUAAUUUGAGGUCAUACCCCGAGGAAGAAUUGCUAAAUCUGUGUAAAAUGUUUCUGACUCCUUUUCUUACAGAUUCUGUCAGAUUAUCUCUUUAAGAAUUCUAAGCCCAUGUUGUUUGAGGUGGUUUUAGGCUAAUGUACAUUCCCCAAACAUUUCUUUGCUGUUCAAAAUAAAGCAAUUGAGAGGGUUCUUCGUAAAAACGAAGCACUUUGCAAGAGCUCAAGACAAAAGACAACUCCCUUUUUUCUAGGGGGUAAUUUUGAGGAUAGAAGAAAAACAGUGUUCUAUGUAAGCCUGUACAAUCACGAGAGCCAUUUGCUGAGGGCCAUGUGUGCGAGUGGUUCGUGUGCUCUCCACCUCCUCUUCUUCCUCCCAGGGGAUGAAAUGAGGCCCAACAAGUGCAAGACAUGGACCAUGUCAGCUCGUGACAGAACAGGGCUGGAACCCAAGUCUGCUAGGCUCAGCCCACUCCCUCCCUGUGCCGAGUUGACAUAUUCUACUUACAUUAAGCCAAGUGCUGGGCUCUGAUUAUACAAAAUCAGAUAAGCCAGGACCCUGUGUUCAAGGAGCUCCCAGGCCUGCUGGGGUGAGAGUGGAGCAGCAAGGAUGGAAGUGCACAGAUGCAAGGGUGGCCAGGCCUAUGGGGAUACAGGCAAGGGAGGCUGAGUGUU
rnacentral:lncRNA from 1 species